rnacentral:rRNA from 1 species
AAUAUUAAAGGCAACGCCUGCCCAGUGAACAAUUAAACGGCCGCGGUACCCUAACCGUGCAAAGGUAGCAUAAUCAUUUGUCUACUAAUUAUAGACCUGUAUGAAAGGCAAAAUGAGGGUCUAACUGUCUCUUUUGAUUAAUCCAUUAAACUGAUCUCCCAGUAAAAAAGCUGGGAUAACCACAUAAGACCAGAAGACCCUGUGAAGCUUAAACUAAACUAUUAAACCCUAUAAUAAAUACUUUCGGUUGGGGCGACCUUGGAAAAAAAAAGAACUUCCAAACACGUCUACUUACUAGACACCCACAGGCCAACAAGCCAACUAACGACCCAGCACAGCUGACAAUUGAACCAAGUUACUCCAGGGAUAACAGCGCAAUCUUCUUCAAGAGCCCAUAUCAAAAGGAAGGUUUACGACCUCGAUGUUGGAUCAGGACAUCCUAAUGGUGCAGCCGCUAUUAAGGGUUCGUUUGUUCAACGAUUAACAGUCCUACGUGAUC